AGGUUAUCCUUCUUCGAGUUGUGAUUGCGUGGCUGCUGAAUGUGCUUGAUGAUUUUUCUUUCCCAAUACUAAAUAUGCUGUUGCAUUUAUUACAAGCGAAGCUCUCCUUGCACCUUUCUCAACAAUGUUGUCCUCCUGGCUAUGAAGCAUGAAUUGCAUUCUGUGUGCAUGCACACCCUCCAGUGGUUGUUUUACUACAGCACAAGUUUUGAGCUUUUUUAUACAGGACAGUUUUAUGUUUCUGUCCACAUUCCUGUUAUCUCCAGUAAGUUUCCAGCCAUUACUAUGUCUUGUUUUCUCAGUCUUACUCUGUCCAGUGACCAGGAUGUAACCAUGCCAGGAAUAUUCAGGUCCUUCAGGGGCUGUGGAACCUCUGGAGCCUAACAUGCACAAGCCUCGCUCUUACCAGUUCAUGAGAAUGAUGUGUGACAGAAUUAACCCCUUGAUGCUGGACCUUCUCAAAAGAAGAGAGGAUUUAUGUUGUCUGUGACGGCAGAUCAACAGAGGCAGUAAAGUGGGAAGAGCUGACCUCGGAUACAAUGCAAGUAAAUAGGCUUGCUGACUGAGAACUCUGUCGAGGUCACAAGGAUCCACAAACUCAUCAUUCAUCUUAUACCACAGUCCAUUGCUGGCCUGUCAAAAA